rnacentral:rRNA from 1 species
UACAGAGGGUGCGAGCGUUGUUCGGAAUUAUUGGGCGUAAAGGGCGCGUAGGCGGUGCGGUAAGUCACCUGUGAAAUCUCCUGGCUCAACUGGGAGCUUGCAGGCGAAACUGCCGUGCUGGAGUGUGGGAGAGGUGCGUGGAAUUCCCGGUGUAGCGGUGAAAUGCGCAGAUAUCAGGAGGAACACCGGUGGCGAAGGCGGGACUCUGGGCCGAUACUGACGCUGAGGAGCGAAAGCGUGGGGAGCAAACAGG